CUAAGCGUACACGGUGGAUGCCCUGGCAGUCAGAGGCGAUGAAGGACGUGCUAAUCUGCGAUAAGCGCCGGUAAGGUGAUAUGAACCGUUAUAACCGGCGAUUUCCGAAUGGGGAAACCCAGUGUGAUUCGUCACACUAUCAUUAACUGAAUCCAUAGGUUAAUGAGGCGAACCGGGGGAACUGAAACAUCUAAGUACCCCGAGGAAAAGAAAUCAACCGAGAUUCCCCCAGUAGCGGCGAGCGAACGGGGAGGAGCCCAGAGCCUGAAUCAGCAUGUGUGUUAGUGGAAGCGUCUGGAAAGGCGCGCGAUACAGGGUGACAGCCCCGUACACAAAAGCGCAUGUGCUGUGAGCUCGAUGAGUAGGGCGGGACACGUGGUAUCCUGUCUGAAUAUGGGGGGACCAUCCUCCAAGGCUAAAUACUCCUGACUGACCGAUAGUGAACCAGUACCGUGAGGGAAAGGCGAAAAGAACCCCGGCGAGGGGAGUGAAAAAGAACCUGAAACCGUGU
rnacentral:rRNA from 1 species